rnacentral:rRNA from 1 species
UACGUAGGGUGCAGGCGUUAAUCGGAAUUACUGGGCGUAAAGCGUGCGCAGGCGGUCUGCUAAGAGAGAUGUGAAAUCCCCGGGCUUAACCUGGGAACUGCGUUUCUAACUGGCAGGCUUGAGUGUGGCAGAGGGGGGUGGAAUUCCCGGUGUAGCAGUGAAAUGCGUAGAGAUCGGGAGGAACAUCAGUUGCGAAGGCGGCUCUCUGGACCAGCACUGACACUGAGGCACGAAAGCGUGGGGAGCAAACAGG